GUCUGGUUGGUGCAGUGGGUAGCACACAGUUACAAAGUGAGGGGGAAUGUAUAAUCGACCUCUAAGAACUUUCCGAACAGCUGAGACCUCGGUUCAACUCCGAGACCGGGCC